ensembl:misc_RNA
UUAAUAACCCUGAAGGUUGAAGGACUUUGGCCACAGAACAGAUAUGACAUGGGCAGUGGCAGUGUAAGCUUCUUCACUGCCCCACCUGUGACCUGGAAGGACCACUUCUAAAGUUAAGAAGGUAGCUCAUUCUCUAUCUUCUGUCAGUCCUUUGCCUCU